GCUCCAGCGACGAUCUUCUCAGCGGCGUUAUCCUCUGACGAGAUUGUGUGCUCUUUCCAACGAUGAUCUCCUCUGGCAGGUUCUCCUCCGGCGGCGCGUUCUCCUCCUGCUACAAUCUUCGUGUGAGAGCAAGGUUGAUAUUCUUUCUCUCUCAAUUUUCUACCGUUGUCGAAAAUAACUAAAAGUUUGGAAUGGAAAAUCAAGUUGUAAAAACUUCAUAAAACUAUGAGAUCUGUUGCGCAAGUGUUUCCUCCAACGAUCUUCUCCAGCCGCGAUCUCCUCCGGCGGUGAUCUCCUCUAUCAACGCUUCUCUUCCAUUGAUGAGAUCUGUUGCGCAAGUGUUUCCUGCGGCAUCGAGUUGUGUUCUGCGACUUCUCCAUCUCCAUCGAGCUUCGUUGAGCAUCUAGGUUUUCGAUUUUCUUCACUGUCAGAAGAAAUUGGAGAAACUUCGUCAAAUUUAGGGGAUGGAAAUUCGCACGGUGUCAAAAGCACUGAGUAGGUUGGUGCUGCCUGAAGUGGAGGCAAGAGUGUCUGAGAAGAACGUCCUCAUUCGGAUCCAUUGCAAGAAACACAAAGGAGUGUUGAUGCACAUUCUCAAGCUCAUUGACAAACUCCAUCUCUCUGUUGUUAACACCACUUCCUUGCCUUUUGGAACCUCCAUUGUCGACAUAACCAUCACUGCCAAGGUUCAAUAGACAAAUUAUGGAGCUCAUCUAUGCGAGCAUCACAUCAAUAGUUCUAAAAUUGGAAGAAAUCAGCAACAAGCCUAUGCAUCAAGUGCAGAUCAUCAUGCAAUUGAAAGAAAGGCUUAAAUGACAAGCUAAAAAUGUUCCUCUAGUAGAAAAGUGAAUAUUAUGGGCACAAGAAGAACAAUCACUUGUCUUUGGAGGGAUUGCUUAAGUUUGGUUCUGUGACCCAAUAAUUCCUUGGAAAAAGCCUUCUACAUUCUGUUCUAAUGUAUUUGAGAAUGAUCAUUGAGAAAUCAGAAACACACUACAUUUUUAUUCGCCAAUAUAGCAUUGGCCGGGCCCCUUUUAUAUGUAAUGAUUAUCUAUUCACCAGAAAAAGAUAAAAUAAAAAGUCUUAGAAGCAUGAGGCAUUAUUUAACGGUUCCAAAGAAGUUUUGUCCAUUUCAAUUAUUUUCCAAUAACAUGGGACCUUCUACAUGUUAUUAUUACUGUGACUAUCUAUUACACCAUAAAAAAAUGAAAUGACUAGGCUGCUUUUAUUUUUUGAUGGAAUUGGCUUAAUCUUUUUAAUAUUAGUGUAGUUGUUCAUCUUUGUAAGUAUAAUUCUUUCAUUUUUUGUAGCACUCUUCCAGUAGUUGAAAGUUAAAUACUAUCUUAUAUAUAUUGUAAGGUUGAAGCCUAAGCACUAUUUUCGGUAUUUUGAUAAUGUCCUUUUUGUUUUUGAGUUUUAGAUCCAACUAAAACCAAUAUAUCCUCCUUCCAAUUUUAAAUUGAUAUAUUUGAUUUCCUUUUUCUUAAGGAAUUAGUCUAAUAAAUAUGAAUAAAAAUAAUAUUUUUUUUUCUGAUCAUAUUACUUAUAUACAAAAAAAAUAUUAGUUGAGUUAUUAGAUAAAAAAGUAAUCAUUGUCAGGAUUUAUGCAUUAUUAUUUCUUAUCUUGGUUGCAGGUUUGAUAUCAAUUUCAAUAUUGUUGAGGAUGAACAUGGGUGCAAUACAAGGGUCAAUAAUUUCGGUGUAGAACUGACACUCUUUUUAAGUGAAAAAAGAGUCCAAUACAAAAAGAUUGGCAUCAAGAUCACAUGUUCUCAAGAAACUAAACCGUUGGGAAGUGCAGGCCCUUUGCUCUUGCUAGGGAUAAGCUGAUAGAUGAAUGAAUGUGGUGAGUCAUUUUUCAUUUUCAACAAUGAUGUUACCAGUGAGUACGCACUUUUAAAGAGAUGAUCGAAUUACACAAAUCCCAUGUUGAAGAGGCUUCCAUAACAGUAACAAAGGUACCACUAUGCAUCCCCCCAAAAAAAUAACAAUGAAAGAAAAAGCUAAUGCCUUUGAUAUUACAAGAACUAGAUCAUAGUGCACUGGAAGUGUGGAACUGAGGGAGUAUUCACCAUAAAAAAUUUUGAGAAUCAGAAGAUAGCUAGAUAGAAGAAUCUGAUAUGUGUAUUCUAAAUCACUAAAGUGUUCUUAAACAUUGAAGUGUGCUUAUAUACAUAGAGGAGAAGCGUGUUCAUCAAGCUGGUGCAAAGGGUAGAGGAGUCUUUAUAUACUUUGGACAAGAGAGAAAGAAAGAGAAGUACAAUGGCAAUGGCGAGCUCUAAUUCUGCUAAUAUCUCUGCUAUUCAUCGAUACCUCACAGUCACAGGUAACUGAAAUUCUCUAUUACUCAAUUUUCUCUGUUUGUUUAUUGCUACUGAUAAUUGAAUGCAGGAAGAAGCAGCAGUGAAGGUUUCAAGGCGCGUGUGUCUAACGUGCAUGUGUUCGAGUGCAGCUCUGUCUCUAAUUGCAGCUGCACCAAAUUCUUCACUAGUCACAAUUUUUAUUCUUUCUCCUCAUCAACGCAAACAUUUUUUAAUUUUAUGGAUCUUAACAAGUGUUGUAUAUUUCAGAUUUCUACAACUGGAAUAUAAUCAAGGUUAGACACUGUGAUGGUUCAUUGUUUACUGGUGACAUCGAAGCAGUGGAUCCUGUAAGUAUUGUAACAUUGAAAAUUUUGUUCUGAGAGAUAAGAUUUGUUAUUUUGUAAUUUCCAUUCUGAUGAGAUUUGCACAACAUGAUAAAUAAAUUAGAAAACCAAUGCGAUUGCUUUAGAUCUCUAAUUCUAGCAGGAGCCAAAGCCAAAUGCAUUUCAGAUGCUGGUUAUUUCAUCAAUGUGUAUGCUUCCUACUUGAACUUUUCUUAUUGGCAACAAUUCAUUUUUCUUUUUUUAUUUAUAGAUUUUGUCAUGCCAUCAUUGUAGGUAUUCUUUCUCAUUUGUUUCAGGUAUCUCCUCCAUUCUCUUUAUGUUUGAUGCUCAUUUGUUUCAAGUUUCUAAUCUUCCUUAGGCUACAAGGUAAAAGAAACAGCGAAGUUAGGUCUUGCCAGAGAAGCCUAUUGAGAUAUACGAAUUUGAAGGGUACUAUAUAUUAGGUAGAGCCAUCAUAAUUCAAUAAUUCAUGAUUUUUAUGAUAGAGAUUUGAUGUAUCUUUAGCUACAUGUUAUGUAUAGAAUUAAAAAAUCAUGUUAUAUUUGAUACUUUAUUUGUAUAGGAGUUAUUACUUUCGA